GGCCCCUAAGAUUAGAAAGGCAGUAAAAAAAAAAAAACAAACAGAAGCUGAGAUUAAUAGAUAUGGCAGAGACUGAACACAAAAGAAAUGAAAGUUUGGCUUUAGGUUAAUCCUUUGGAAUGGCCGAAGAUGAAAUAAUUAAGGGGGCGAUUAUGCCAAACCCAAUCUUGAGGAAACUCCAAAGCUCUCCUCCUCGUUCUCAAACUGUCCCUCUCUCUCUCUCUCCCUCUGUCUCUGCAAGGUUAGUCG
rnacentral:misc_RNA from 1 species